rnacentral:tRNA from 1 species
GUAGCUUAAUAAAAAGCAUAGCACUGAAAAUGCUAAGAUGGGUACUAGAAACCCCCGCACGCA